rnacentral:lncRNA from 10 species
CGCGCCGCUGCCGCUGCGUGGGGGUGAGGGGAUCAGUCUGGUGGAAAGGACAGAGGACUAAGUCCAUGGACUGGAAAUUGGAAGGGAGUACUCAGAAAGUAGAGUCACCUGUGCUGCAGGGGCAAGAAGGCAUCCUAGAGGAGACAGGUGAAGAUGGACUUCCUGAAGGCUUCCAGCUUCUGCAGAUCGAUGCGGAAGGCGAGUGCCAGGAGGGAGAGAUCCUGGCCACAGGCAGUACGGCAUGGUGCUCGUUCUCAAACAAUUUUGUUUUCUGGAUAAUAUAAGAAAAAUGUCCAGAGAAAACAGAGACACUGGGAAAAGAUAGUUGCAGCAAAGAAGAGCAAAAGAAAGCAAGAAAAAGAACGAAGAAAAGCCAAUCGUGCAGAAAAUCCAGGCAUUUGCCCCCAGCACAGCAAACGUUUCCUGAGAGCUCUAACCAAAGACAAACUUUUGGAAGCCAAACACUCAGGACCAAGACUAUGUAUCGAUUUGAGUAUGACCCACUACAUGUCAAAGAAGGUAG